rnacentral:rRNA from 1 species
UGAGUAAAAUUUAGUGAAGGAACUUGACAGGUAUAAAUAUUAUAUAUAUAUGUUAUAUUGAAAAAUGUUU